rnacentral:tRNA from 1 species
GGGCCCAUAGUCCAAUGGUAGAAUACUUCGUUUGCAACGAAGAGACCCGCGUUCGAUUCGCGGUGGGUCCA